UACGAUUAUAAAAUGAAUGUUAUUUACUUUGAAUCUAAACACUUAAUUUUGGUAAUUAAUAUAUAUAUAUAUAUAUAUAUAGGCAACAUAAAUUUUAAAGGAACAGCAUGACAUUUACUGUGGGUAAAUGAUUUGUAAUUUCCAUGCUUCAAAUACUUUAAAUAAAUAUUUUUCUUUAGAAGAAAAUAUUAGAAAAUAUUCAUGGAUGUUCAUUAAUCAUGUCAUUUAUUCAAAUCAAAUGACAAAUUGCGUUGAAUAAAUUUCUUUUGAUCUUGGACUACUUCAUCGAGAGACAAUUUAUUAUUAAUCAUUGCCAAAAAAGAAAAUAUCAGUAUGUAUAUAGCUAUAUUUGUCAUCUCGUACCUUCAGCUCUGUGUUCCAGCGAAAUGAUACAAUGAAACGUCAUGGAAGAGAUAGGAAUUUCUCUAACAUUGUAUACUAUAUACUAGAACGCUGUUUCGUCUACAGUGAGAUUAGAGAAUGCAGUGGAUGAGAUGGACGGACGGAGUGAUCCCUCCGUGUCCCAAAACACAGAAACCAAUCCGCUUUGGAACAAGAUUCUGGCGUCAAUGGAAUUCAUAAUCACAGAAAAAUUACUAAGCGUGUCACUGAUGGAAAUCACAGGAUAUUGUCAUUAUCACGUGACGGCCAAUGCUGCACCCGAUUUGCAUAAAAUAUAAACAUUAUACUUCCGCCGGAAAAGACCUCGUCUAACCAAUAUGAACUGAAUCAGACAUCAAACAAGCUGAUGGGUAUCGCAGUACAAGCUGAUAAGUUACAUUAAUUUAAUUUGAAUGCGGUAUAAUUAAGAUUUCAUUGUAAUUGUCGGGAGCAGUUGGAUGAAGAUAAAAAAAAAUAUGCUGGAAACAGCGGACGUUAAUGAACCAUUUUGACAUCGCUUAUCGCAUUGGAAUUUUCAAUCCAAUGACCAUGACUCUUAAUUGUGGGUCUCAUGAUCUCUGACUCCUGUAAAAUUAAUGUGUUUUGGGUUGUUUUUUUUUUGUUUUUUGAUAAUUCAGAACAUGAAUUUGAUUUUCCGAUCGAUGAUCAUUUUGAAACGAAAUAUUCUACUGUAGACUCAAUAUCUAUUUCGUAAUCACUUGACGGGGGAACAAGGUACAAGUUGCACUUUUUUUUUUUUACGAUGUUCGUUCUUUGAGUGCAAACCUAAAUGAAUUUACAUGUAGAAGUAUAUAAUUCAUUUAGUUCUGCUAUUUUUCUAAUUUCCACCAGCACGUCAAUGGGGAUAUCACAUUGCCUGCCGUGCUAUUUAACGUUUCAACAAUGUUUCCAAAUAUUUAAUAAAAAAAAGUAUCAAAAGUAAACACGAAGGUGGUUAUUUUACCCGAAAAAAAAGGUACUACUACAAGUUUGAAAUAUUGAAAGGUCAAAGUACAUAAUAUUCUUUGCUGUCUCGUAUAAGCGCACAGAAACCUGGCUGCAAAUGAAGGUACGAUAAGGAAUAUAUAAUUAAAGAUGAGAUAAAUGCAUUAGUAGUGAUAGUUUUCCAAAGUCAGAUUAAACCCGGAGAACCCCUUCCAAUACUUUAAUACUUUUGUCAUUAUAUUUUAUCCCUCUGCACGUCAUAAUUCUGUGAUUUUCUUUCUGAUGUCACCACGAAAAGUGCGAGCCUAUUUACGUAUCACCAUGUUAGUAAAUUACGAGAAAAUGAUUAAUGAAUCUGUUUCAAUGGAGACAGUGACAGCUAACAUGAUAUCAAAUAAUUAUUUCUGAUGUACUGCACCGUUCAGCAACAGACAAGGGCGACAUGACAGAAUGUCAAAGCUCGACAGAGUGUGUUCAGUGGCGGUAAUCAGCUGUUGGACUUCAAGAUCAACGUCGAUUUGUCGUAAAAUAAUCUUGUUGCGAUUGUCGUAAAAUAAACUCAACGCAUUUCUGUGAAAAGAGAAGGGGAAUACUCACUAUUCAAUACUUAUCAGUACAGUGUUUUCUGCUUAGCUUAAUCCAUGGUGAACAAAUAUUCAUAAAAGCAUUUAGCUGUAUGCUCUAUACCAUAUACAUAGAUUACAUCCAAGAUACUUUUAAUUUUAUUCUGACUGAAAAUAGAUUAUAUUGAAAAAGUGUAAAAAAUGAGAAUUACAUUAACUAUUUGAAAAUAAUAAAAGGGUAAUUAAUUCCUAAUUUUUGAUAUAAAAAGAAGGGAAUGGGCCAAACUGAAAAUUAAUUGCAGUUUAAGUAAGUCAACAAAACAAAUAGGUUUAGUCUAUGAAUUUAGAUAUUUCAUUUCUCGAAAGUAUUAGCAUGGCUUUAUUUUAUGAUAUUGAUGAUAAUUCAACUUCAGGACACUGAAGAAUAUCAUAAUUCUUUGACCAAGUUUAUGGGUAUAUAAGAAACUAAGAUAAUACAAUAAUGCUUAUUCAAAUAAACUUAAACAUAUUAUUUCAACAUAUGUGGCCGUGAUAAUAAUCGACACUUUAAUUCCAGACUAGCAAUCUAGCGACGACAAUGGGAAUGAUAAUUUCAGGCCACUCGGUGUCUGUAUAACCAACAUGUUCUUUAGAUAAAGAAGGUGGGGCUAGUCGGCAAAAAGGGGAAUGUUUUUGUGUGUUGUUAUCUAAUAGCCACAUAGCAGAGAGGACUAAGUAUCCACAGUCUCUUUCAAGUUUGGGAAGUUGUUGAUUCGUCGACAUGAUACGUGACGCCCCAACAGUACAGUGUCUUCUCUGCAAUCUUUGAUUACAGACGUGGCGGGGGAAGAGCGAACAUGCGAUGCCCUUCGUUCAUACUAGAUUCCAGAAUGUCCGACCUCAAACAUCAAAUUAUUUUACAAGUCGUAAACACGGAAAGAAAGAGUGGUGAAAAUGAAUUAGUAAAUAAAGAUGAAAAAUAGGUCUCCGCGUGCGUUGAUCAAUCCAGUAAAAGUGUAUUACAAGUUACUGCGUGACAAUUUCCUUUAUUUUUUUUAAACAAUUUCAGCUAUGCCAUGAGCUGUAGUGGUUGAAAAGCGAGUUAUAUUUUGCUAUGACGAGAGCAACUUGUGAUCGCGUUCAAGGAAACUCGAAACCUGUUUAACGGUGUCGUUAUUAACAUGCCCACCUACAAAGAUCCUCUGAUACUUGAUAUUCUAGUUUUUAAACUGUAUUUAAAAAAAAAACCAACCACAUUAUGGUAAACAUAUACAAGUCAAGAACAGUUUUUGUUUGUAAAUAUGAAUUGUCGACUGUAAACCAAAAUCAACACUCGUUAACCAAUUUGUGGUUGUUAGCAACAUUUUCAAAUAUCGUGAAACUAUAUUUAUCCAAUAAAUUAUGAUUUACACUUAAGAAUUAUAGUUUUCAAUUUUUAACUACAUAGUUAACGACAAAGCAGAUUCCUACACGUGUAUCCCACCGCUGUUAAGUAUAAUUAACUCUCGUAAACUAUAUUCUAGAGAGAUUAUCUAUAAUCAAAAGUUGUAAAUCAUCGUUUAACGCUACAAACUAUAGCUUACUAUUUUAAACCUUUCAUUUACAAUUUUGAAAUCACCGUUAAUAACAAUAUCGUUCACCCAUCGUAGAUGCGGUAAAUUCUCGAUUAAAAUCUGCAACUUCACCAAGCCGGUAACCAAAAAUAUGUAAGGAUGGCACGAUUUGAAUAGACUAGGGUUGUUUGGGGACCGCCCAAGAAACAAAACUGGUCAAAUCAAGUCUGAACUCUACUAGUAUAUAGCCUUAAAAUCGGUUCCUCAGCAGUACUUAAUUUUUGUUUUCAAGGAGGUGCAAACGCAUCGCUCGCACUCUUCUUCUGCCAGCGAGUCUGCCACUGGUUCAGUAAAUUAUUCAUUCAAAAUUGCUGAAAAAUAAGAACUUAUCCUUUAUUGUAGGCCUUUUCAGUUCUAAAAAGACUGUUCAUAAUAUGCAAAAUGACAUAAUGAUUUGAAAUAAUUUUUUAAAAAGUAGCAGAAAUGUGUAGCGAUUUAGAAAGCUGAAUGAUGUCCGUUACACGAAUGACCAGUUAUCAUGACAUUAUAUAUAGUCAGAACGUUAAUAAAAUACCACACAAAUGAAAACAAUGGCUGCAAGUUCAGAUUUAACCAAACCAUAACUAGAUAUAGUUUACGAUUGUUGAAAAUAUAGUUUAUGAAUAUUCGUUAGGUAUAGUUGACAAUGAAAAGUAAAAAAAAGUUUAACUGAUAAAUAUGUGUAAGCGGAAGGUGAAAUGGAGUAAGAGAGAAGGAAGGGAGGAAGAAGAGAAAAGAAGGGAAGGAGAGGAAAGAAGAGAUGAAGGAAGUAGAGGGGAGUUGGAGUUGGAGUCCAACUUUAAGUAAUUUUGUGUCCUGAACAACUGUGUUUAGCAUUUGUAAACCACCGUAUUUUACGUCGUUUAAUAUAUUUAACUUCGUAAACUAUAGUAUACAAUUGAUUAUGAUAAACCUACUUUAAAUGAGUAUAUGUUAAUUUGACGAUCCAUGCAUCAAGAUGUUUUGUAGAGACAAUUUUGAUGUACUGGUAUGAUACAGCAUUUUGAUCUGUGAUGAAAACCGAACAAGAAAAAAUGUUACAAUAUGAUACAAGAGAAAUUCUUUGACUUUCAAAGAAAUGCAUGUCUCUAAAUAGAACAGAAAAAAACCCAACCAAGAACCCAACACAAAUAUAGGUUAUAUCAACGAACAUUGAUACGGACAAAAAAUAAAUCUACACGAAAAUUAAGUUUUCGGGUUUAUCGAAUAUUUAAAGAAGGAAGUGUUUAAUAUAUAACCGCAUUCUUACGACAUAAAUUUCAAACUCUGAAAGAAAUUAAUUAAUUAAUGUUUACCCCCAGAGAAUAAAUAAAGAGUACAUCUCGUCUUCAAAACAAACGUGUUGACAGGAAGAGCUCUCGAACUGUGAACAAACAACUUCUAUGCGUGUAAAGACCGAGUUGGGGACAAAUUCCGCGUGGACUAGCAAGUAACUCUGCUCCUCGUCCAUCGAACAACUUCUGAGGAGCCACCAACACGGACGAAUUGAUCACGACGUGGACAGCGAAGACACGUGGUGGAGACGCCCCCUAGCAUUGGUUCACGCUCACACCCCUAAAACAAAGAAUAAUCUCGGUCUGUGUGUUUGAACGACGAGAUUAUUACUUUUCGUCAAAUGAAAAGAAAGCUGCCCAAUGUUCAUCCUUACAUCAUUUAUAUGCAGCACCACCCACCCGUUGACAAUGGUUGAUGUCAAAAUCUGGCCAGUCUCAUGAAAAAGGUCAAGUCCACCACAAGAUCAUUGGACACUGUCCCAUAAGUGCUCUUCAAAUUGUUUGUCGUUGACAUAAAUAAUGUGUAAUGUUUGCUCAAUUAUCCUGUCACCUAAUUCAAAGCUGAUAUGCCAUUUUAUGACAUAUUUGCAUAUUCUAAAGCGUUGAUUAGAAAUGUUUUCUUUAACUUGGAUGUUACAGCAAUUAAAUACGUCUCAGAAA